CAUUAAAUAGCUGAAAGUCAGCUUUGGUCUCUUAAACCAAAAAUAGUAACCCCACGUCUACUUUUAAUGA
rnacentral:tRNA from 1 species